rnacentral:ncRNA from 1 species
UUUGUGGAGGGUUCGAUUCUGGCUCAGGAUGAACGCUGGCGGCGUGCUUAACACAUGCAAGUCGAACGGGAUCCCUGGCGCUUGCGCCGGGGUGAGAGUGGCGAACGGGUGAGUAAUGCGUGACCAACCUGCCCCAUGCACCGGAAUAGCUCCUGGAAACGGGUGGUAAUGCCGGAUGCUCCAGAUGACCGCAUGGGAUUCUGGGAAAGCUUUUGCGGCAUGGGAUGGGGUCGCGUCCUAUCAGCUUGUUGGUGGGGUGAUGGCCCACCAAGGCUUCGACGGGUAGCC